rnacentral:rRNA from 1 species
AUCAGCAUGCUGCGGUGAAUACGUUCCCGGGCCUUGUACACACCGCCCGUCACACCAUGGGAGUCGGUAACACCCGAAGCCAGUAGCCUAACCAAAAGGGGGGCGGCUGUCGAAGGUGGGAUUGAUGACGUGGGGUGAAGUCGUAACAAGGUAAC